UACGGGGGGGGCAAGCGUUGUCCGGAAUUAUUGGGCGUAAAGAGCUCGUAGGCGGUCUGUCGCGUCUGCUGUGAAAACUCGGGGCUUAACCCCGGGCCUGCAGUGGGUACGGGCAGACUAGAGUGCGGUAGGGGAGACUGGAAUUCCUGGUGUAGCGGUGAAAUGCGCAGAUAUCAGGAGGAACACCGGUGGCGAAGGCGGGUCUCUGGGCCGUAACUGACGCUGAGGAGCGAAAGCAUGGGGAGCGAACAGG
rnacentral:rRNA from 1 species